AGAGUUUGAUCAUGGCUCAGAACGAACGCUGGCGGCGUGCUUAACACAUGCAAGUCGAGUGCGCGUCUGUAGCAAUACAGAUGGCGCACGGCGCACGGGUGCGUAACACGUGGGCAAUCUGCCCUUCGAUGGGGAAUAACUCCGGGAAACCGAAGCUAAUUCCGCAUAACAUUCCUUGGACUUCGGUUCGAGGAUUCAAAGCCGUAAGGCGUCGAAGGAGGAGCCCGCGCACGAUUAGCUAGUUGGUAGGGUAACGGCCUACCAAGGCUUUGAUCGUUAGCUGGUCUGAGAGGAUGGCCAGCCACACUGGAACUGAGACACGGUCCAGACUCCUACGGGAGGCAGCAGUGGGGAAUCUUGCACAAUGGGCGAAAGCCUGAUGCAGCGACGCCGCGUGGGGGAUGAAGCAUCUCGGUGUGUAAACCCCUUUCGACUGGGACGAAUGCCUCGCAAGAGGAGUGACGGUACCAGUAGAAGAAGCCCCGGCUAACUACGUGCCAGCAGCCGCGGUAAGACGUAGGGGGCCAGCGUUGUUCGGAAUUACUGGGUGUAAAGGGUUCGUAGGCGGUGUGGCAAGUUGGGAGUGAAAUCUCUGGGCUCAACCCAGAGGCUGCUUCCAAAACUGCCAUGCUUGAGUGUGGGAGAGGCGCGUGGAAUUGCAGGUGUAGCGGUGAAAUGCGUAGAUAUCUGCAGGAACACCCGUGGCGAAAGCGGCGCGCUGGACCACUACUGACGCUGAGGAACGAAAGCUAGGGGAGCAAACAGGAUUAGAUACCCUAGUAGUCC
rnacentral:rRNA from 1 species